GGUGGCUCAGUGGUAGAGCGCUUGCCUUGCAUCCAUGAGGCCCUGGGUUCAAUUCCUAAGCACCA
rnacentral:tRNA from 1 species